UACAGGGGGUGCAAACGUUGCUCGAAAUUAUUGGGCGUAAAGCGCGCGUAGGCGGCUACUUAAGUCGGAUGUGAAAGCCCCUGGCUCAACUGGGGAAGUGCACCCGAAACUGAGUAGCUUGAGUGCAAAAGAGGGCCGCGGAAUUCCCGGUGUAGAGGUGAAAUUCGUAGAUAUCGGGAGGAACACCGGUGGCGAAGGCGGCGGCCUGGGUUGACACUGACGCUGAGGCGCGAAAGCGUGGGGAGCAAGCAGG
rnacentral:rRNA from 1 species